CCUCCAGACUCCUACGGGAGGCAGCAGUGGGGAAUAUUGCACAAUGGGGGGAACCCUGAUGCAGCGACGCCGCGUGGGUGAAGGAGUAUUUCGGUAUGUAAAGCCCUAUCAGCAGGGAAGAACAAUGACGGUACCUGACUAAGAAGCACCGGCUAAAUACGUGCCAGCAGCCGCGGUAAUACGUAUGGUGCAAGCGUUAUCCGGAUUUACUGGGUGUAAAGGGAGCGCAGGCGGCGCGUUAAGCCUGGUGUGAAAGCCCGCGGCCCAACCGCGGGACUGCAUUGGGAACUGGCGCGCUGGAGUGCCGGAGGGGUAGGCGGAAUUCCUAGUGUAGCGGUGAAAUGCGUAGACAUUAGGAGGAACAUCAGUGGCGAAGGCGACUAUCUGGCACAUAACUGACGCUGAGGAGCGAAAGCGUGGGUAGCAAACAGGAUUAGAUACCCCAGUA
rnacentral:rRNA from 1 species